CAGUCAUGAGCCACUGUGCCCAGCCUAAGAAUGUCACUUUCUAACAGGUUCAAGAACUCCGUUUAUCUUGGGACCUUAAGAGAAGAGAAUCACUCACCUCACAGGCAUUUGAGGAUACAAACCCGUAACUGGGCUUGGUUUUAAAAGGUCUUAUCUGAGACUCCUUGUGAAACAGAGUUCCAUCAAAGCCAAUCCAAAAGGCCUACGUAGAAAUAAUUAUUCUUCUUGCACUUUAUGCAAAUAAUCAGACCAAGUGUAAGACUACAAUCUAUUUUGCCAACAACUCAGUCCUAUCAUGAUUUAUGUUUUUUAUUGUUGUUGUUUUUUUGUUUUUGUUUUUGUUUUCCAAAAUUGAGGACUGGAGAGAGAGAAAUUGUGUUUCAAAACUUAUCACACAUUUGCCAUUAAAUUCUAAACUCAUUAGUUGUUUUUAAGUUUUUACCUAUAUUUUAGAUGAACCUUGCUUGUUCCUGUGAACCAACCAGCAAGCUCCAGCUCCAGCUCAGAAAGUACAAAAGGCCAUCAAACUCCAAACAGUCAUGCAACUGGAGAGGCGGACAAUGGCCCCUUCUGCUUGGAACCCUUAAAUAAGCCUCUAAGGGACUUUGACUGCUGUUUUGCCAAAACAGCGCCCCCUGUCAGCAGGAAGCAGUUGAGAUCCGUCUUCAUCCUUAUCCUUAUCCUUCUUCUAAUGGCAGUUAGAUGCACUUCUUUAGAGGGGUCAAUGAGACAGCCAGGUGGGAAGGGGUCCCCAGAGAAACUCCAGCCUGCACACUGGGAGGAGUGUACACUGGGGUGGAGCCACAUAAGUUUGUGCCAUUUGCAGUGGGGAAGAGCCCGGCCCCUCCUCUUCCUGGGUAGAAACUGAAAUUCAAACUGUGAGGUGGGAAGCACACCAGCAGGGAGUCUGGCUUUGCAGAGGGACCCUUUCCCUCUUUCCUUUUCACCCAAUAAACUCUGCCCUCCUCACGCUUCAAAUUGUCUGCGAGCCUAACUUUUCAUGGCCACAUGAUAAGGACUCCCAUGUUUACCUGAACUAAGGAAAAGUCCUGCAACAGUAGACUUCCCCAUUCCAUCCCUCACAGCUUCCACCACAUCCCUAUACCCCUCUCCUAACACACACACACCCCAAAGAGAACAACAGCCUGAGCUCUAAAUCAGGCUCUCUAAUUUACCAUCUAAGGGUCAUUAAGAAAGUGACUUUGCCUUUCUAUUCCGUGUUUGUCACAUAUUAUAGGGUGAGUAAAGAGGAGAAAACAAUCAACCUUCUAGAACUAAUAUGAAGAUUAUGUGUCACAAAAUAAUUGCAAAGUACCAGGUACCAAACAUAUAAUCAAUAAAUUUAGCUAAAUUUUAGUUUUAGAUACGUACUUUCUGCUAUUCUAUUCUGUUCUAAAUAAAAUUAAUUAUCUUCGG